CUCUCCCUGUGUGCAAAUGCUUUAUACCUUUUUCCAAAAAAAACCCCAGUGACCUCACAGCUCUUUGCCCUUCCUCCUCAAUCAGAGUCAGCCUCUGUAGGCCUCCUCUUAGCUCAUUUAAACCUCUCUCAGCUGAGGCCUACUGCACGACCUGAUGAAUCCCCAGGUGGGACAGUCUCUGGAUGACCUUUCUUUCAGUCUCGGCUUGACACUUUAUCUCCAUAUUCGUUCCUCAUGGAUUUGAAUAUUUAGUCUAUACUUGGUGCUGCUGUUUGAAAAAGUUAGGAAUCCUUUAAGAGUAGAAAGAUUUUUGGGAGACAACCCUUCCCCAGUAAGAUGUGAUCGACAUUGCCCACAGUGGUAACAUCUCAUUAACACAGGCUGUGCUAACUUUGUGACUUACUUUGGGUGAAGAAGGGCAAGAGACAUAUGAGAUACCACUUUCUGUCUGCUACCUCCAGAGGUUCAGUGCUUGAACAUGCUUCUAACCCAGAUAUUGUGAUGAUCCAAGGCAAGGCAAGACUACUGGGAGAUGUUUUCCUGGCAACUCAGUUCACACUGAUGCACAAGAAGGGACAGAAUGCUCACAGGAAUGGCCACUCCUAGAUGCAAGCAAUGACAAGUAUUGACAAGGAUGCAGAAAUAAGAAGCUCAAGUGUUCUGAAUAAAAUAUAAAAUGCAUAUGUUUUGGAAAACAUUUUCCAGCUUCCUAAAAAAAAAAUCAGUCAACCUCUCAU
rnacentral:lncRNA from 1 species